GACGAACGCUGGCGGCGUGCUUAACACAUGCAAGUCGAACGGUGAACCAGGGCUUGCCCUGGGGAUCAGUGGCGAACGGGUGAGUAACACGUGAGUAACCUGCCCUUGACUCUGGGAUAAGCCUGGGAAACUGGGUCUAAUACCGGAUAUGACCUUCCAUCGCAUGGUGGUGGGUGGAAAGCUUUUGUGGUUUUGGAUGGACUCGCGGCCUAUCAGCUUGUUGGUGGGGUAAUGGCCUGCCAAGGCGACGACGGGUAGCCGGCCUGAGAGGGUGACCGGCCACACUGGGACUGAGACACGGCCCAGACUCCUACGGGAGGCAGCAGUGGGGAAUAUUGCACAAUGGGCGCAAGCCUGAUGCAGCGACGCCGCGUGAGGGAUGACGGCCUUCGGGUUGUAAACCUCUUUCAGUAGGGACGAAGCGCAAGUGACGGUACCUAUAGAAGAAGGACCGGCCAACUACGUGCCAGCAGCCGCAGUAAUAC
rnacentral:rRNA from 1 species